AUCGUAUUAAAGGUUCAUAAUCUUGAUAAAACAUUAAUCUUUGGUAAUACUCCUUGCUGGUUCACGUUGAUUGUUCUAUUGAGUUAUAAGAAAUGAUUUUAAUUGCAUAUGGUUGCUCAUAAUAUUCUGCUCGUGCAUAGAGUCAUUUAUCAUUUCACCGAGUCCCGGGCCGGGUAAUGUUCGUGCGGAGUUUCUUGCAUAUGUCACCGAGUCCCUCACUAGAGGGCCGGGUAUGUAUAUUAUAUAUAUGAUUGGUGAUGAGGAUGGUUAUGAUGAUGAUGAUGACGGAGAUGACGUGAUGAUUAUUUUGCCGAGCCCCUUACUAGGGAAGCUGGGCACCUUAAAUGUUAAAUAUAUGCAUGAUUUUCACUUAAAAAGUAUAUGUGUAGCGAUAUUUUGUUUCGACUUGCCACAUUGGUAUCCUGUCAUCUUUACCUUAUGCUUUACAUACUCAGUACAUUGUCCGUACUGACCCCCCUUUCCUCGGGGGGCUGCGUUUCAUGCCCGCAGGUGUAGACGCGCAGUUCGGUGAUCCUCCCGCCUAGGAUAUCUACUCUGCUGAUUGGGAGAGCUCCACUGUUCCCGAGCCCAGUCGUUUUGGUACAUAACUUUUGUGUAGUCUUUUGCUCGUCUAUGGGUAUGGUGGGGCCCUGUCCCGUCGAGUUUCACUAAUGUACUCUUAGAGGUCUGUGGACAUUAUGUGGGUUGUAUAUAUAUGUUUUGGAUAAUGGUCUGGACAUGGUUUGUUUGGGAUGUCCGCUUGUACAGGGGUAGCCUUGUCGGCUGCGUACAUCAUUAUGCUUUGAAUAGUGGCGGCCUUGUCGGCUCGCGUAUGCUGUUAUGGUUGAAUGGUUAUGACUCCUUAUGAGACAGGUCCUCUUAUAUAUAUAUAUGACGUUGGGGUUGGCUUGAUUUGAUUAAAUUCCAUAUUGUCUUAGUUUCAGUUGGUCAUACUUAGCAGGUUUGUAUGUGGGUGUCCAAAACGGGCACUAAUCACGGCCUAUCGGGUUGGGUCGUGACAAUAAGACCUUAGAAUCAUGAACAAAAUUUAGAUAUACUCGAACGAAAAUUUUGAAAUUUGCUCACCCAAACCCGAGAGCUCCUUGUCAAACACAUAGUUUAUUUUUCAAUACUUUUCUUCUUCUUAUUGUGUAGUUCAAUAAUAUCCUUUAAUCCUAUUUUUUACAUACAAAUGCAAUGAUUCAUUUUAAUCUCAUACCUUCAAUGAAUAAAAUAAGUAAUCGAAAAGACUAGAGAAAUGAUUUGGCUACCAUUACUACAAUUUAUUCUUUCAAUUCUUGUUAAAUUGUGCAUGAAAUCUUUAUAAGCCAAUCUGUGUUGGCUAGGCAACUUAUUUCGUCCUUUUGAUAUUAGGGAGAUUAUGGGAUUGAUCAUCCAUAUUUUUUUACUGCCCUUUAUUAGAAUAAUAAAGAAGUUUGUAUAAACCAAUUUUUUAUUUAGCUAUUAUGCCCAUUAUUUGAUCAUUUGUAUAACGAGAAUAUAUUGCAGCAUAUAUCUUUAUUUGGCACAAGACAACCACUUGAUUAAACUUUAUUCUUAUCAACCAUUGAUGAUUUGAUAUACUUAAGCUCUUACUUUCUUAGAUCACUUUGAACUUACAUUGCUUCUUCUUUUUUCUUACAUUCUUAAAGAAAUCUUUAGCAUUAACAUCAUAUGAGUCAAUCUGAAAUCUAGUGUCUUCCCCACACCAAAAAGGGGUGGUUUACCGAUCAAAGUGAACCUAUAUCAUGUAAGGUAUAUAUGAAAUCCAGCGUCUACCCCACACUGAAAAGCGGUGGUUCACUGGCUAAAGUGAAACAAAGUACAGUGUAUUUCCCACACCGAAAAGUGGUGGUUCAAGCCUAAUGUGAAAAUAAUUCAUUCUUUGAGCAUUUAAGAGACAUACAUCAUGUAUGCUAUGCGUGAAAUCCGGUGUCUACCCUACACCGAAAAGGGGUGGUUUCAUCGACCAAAGUUAACCAGCAUCAUACCUAGCUCUUUUAGGUGGAAUCCACUAGCUAAUUCCUAUGCUGAGAACAUAGUUCGAACAAUAGGUGACAUAUGGAGACUACUUAUCCACGUUGGUGGUAGCCUCAUAUCAUGAGGAUUACAUGUGCUGGCACAACCUCCUUCAAAGUCUAUCAUUGCUUUGCUCAACUUCUUUUUAUCUACAUCUUUUAUAGUUGACUCAAACAUUAUCGAAGCUUGCUUCUAGUUAUUAGCUUUACUUAACUCUUAGGAUAACCGUUCAUCCCUUUCUUUACUUGAUGAAAUGUGAAUUUAACCUUACAUUAUGAUCUUCGUGUUAAGGAGACCCGUCUCAUGAUUAUUAACACGCUUUUAUGUUAGUAUCUCUAGCAUAGUGGUCUAGGUGUGAGUGAGACUUGUAUAACUUUUUUUAACACCUCAUUCUUGUAAAUUUCAUAAUUAUUGAACUUUUAAUUAUGUUAUUACUCACCUUAUCUUGUACAUUAUAAACUUUGUUCAAUGUACUUACUUAUAUUCAUAGUUCAUUUUGAAAGGGUAUGUUUGGACUUGUCCCAAUGAUUGGCGUACCCUUUGUUAUGAAUUCAAAGUAACAUUGGUCAUGAUUAAUUUGGUUUAAAUUAGUCAUUAUCCAUUUAAUCAUAAUGUCUUUUAAAUAACUUUGUAAGCCAAUUUUAUUCACUUUUGGGACAAUGUGUUAUUAGCUAAUUUAUCGGUACAAUCAAAACUUUCAUGUAAAAAAAUUUCAUUAUGUUAUCACUAGCAACAUUAAUUAAUCCCAUGAAUGUAUUAUAGUUAUACCCUCAACAUAAUAAAGUCUAAUUUAACAGAAGCUAAAUUCAUAAUAAAUAUCUAAGAAACUUCAUAUUCUCAAACACAAUUAAGCAUUACAUCUUACUUUAUUUCUUAUAACUAAAACCCUAAUUAUAUGAAUAAAGUAUAUAGGCCUCAUUAGUCAUUAACAAAUCAAGAACCUACAAAAAAUGAUCAGUUAGCACCACAUACCAACAACAUGUUCUAGAUUAUAUCUAUAUACUUAUAGAAGCGAACACAAGGAUAACUAGGGAGAUGGACGUUCAACAAUAUCAUUGGGAACAUACCUGGUUUCGACAUUAAUGAAUUCAAAACGUUUCAAAGGCCUCUUGGAGAAAGAUUCCCAGGAGAAAAAACCCAUACCUUAUGUAGAAUUGAAACUAAAAAGAUCACCUUGCACGAAAACCAUGAAGAAAACCUUAAAAUCCCCUAAGAGAACUUUUCUAUUUUUCUAUGUUUUGCGCACUGUUUAUUCUCACAAUUGCGUACAAUUUUGAGUCGGGAAUUUUUUUAAUGUUUUUACACGAGUAGAAGUUUUAGAAUCUGAUAUUCACUAAUUCAAUUUAGGGUGAUUAAGUUAAUUAUAUAAAUAAUUUAGUUAAUUACAAAAAUGCCCCUACUAGAUUGACUAAAAAUAGGAUAGCAUUUAACUUAGUCAAACCUGAAAUUUUUCGUAAGAGUUUUGGCCUUUCUUGUGAAUUUUCCUUAAUUAUUUAAUUCCUAAAUUUAAUUAAUUAAGGGACAAGGAGUGAUUUUUAAUGCACCCGAAAAUUAAUUUGGACCAUAACUAACCAUUUUGACGAUCCUAAGUUAGGUAGUAAGAUGUUACUAGGUUAGUGUAACCCAAUUAAGUUUUAGGUUGUCGGGUGCACUAGAUAGUUUAUUUUUGUUUUUUCUAGUUUAUUUAGAUAAUUAGGUCAGUUAGUUAGAGUCUAGUGUUUUUUAGAUAGUUAGGCCCUACAUGGGUGGACCCUUGCGCAUGCUUGUCCCCUAACUACCCUAAGCUAAUUCCGUUAGGGUUGUCCCCUCCCUUUUAUGGCUUUAAACACGUGUUGCUUGUAAUUUACCAACUAAAUAUUCUUGAUUGUUCAUUUGGAAUGUUUACUUUUUUCCUAAGAAUCCUCACUAUGUCCUUAGGCAAUACUUAAUCUACAUGUCCAUUUUAAUUGGUCAUGUGCUAUGGUGCCGAGGCUUGACGCAUUGUUGCCUCACACCUAAUGUACAAAUGCUAGAAAAUAUAUUUUUUUGGCUUAGGUUCAUAAUUGUUGGUACAUUUCAUGGACAAGCUUGUUAAUACAUUUAAAAUUGGCUAACACCUUUAAAGUCAAUAUUUUGUAAUAUGCCCAAUAUUUCAAAAUGAUUGGCAUUGGGAUGCAUAUUUAACCCCAAUACCUAUUCUUAAAACAUAAUAGUCUCUUAACUAAGACAGUACAUUUUCUUGAAUGUUACAACAAGAUCAUCACAUAAUCACAAUUAACAAUAAUUAAAGUAAAGAGUUCAGAUCACAAGACUUAUCAAGUCUCCUUCAUCAUCUAUCAUCAUGGUCUUACCAUCAACCCUUUAAAUGAACCCAUUAUGGGUGUAAUAUCUUCACACAACAAUAACCAACAUGAUAAAAAGGACAAUUGAGUUACUACAUCAUAUUCCAUCACUAGUUCGUUGCUUAAGAUAAGAGACUUAGGUCAAAUUCAUAAUCUAUUUCGCAACAUAGUUCAAUUACUCAAGAACUAUCAUUAUAGGACUAAAAUUCAUUUUAAAAUAUUCAUAGUUAUUACAAUGACAUUAUAGGAUUGUAACUCAAUAAAUAACAAGUCCAUUGAACCAAUACUACGCAAAUUACAUCAAGAUCACAACCUAGGGUUAAGGAGGAAAGGUCAUCUUCUAGAAACUAGACUAAUACAUAAUUGAGUAGUGUAACAUAGUCAUAAAUAAUCAUUAUAAUCAAUACAAACCAAAGAAAAUAUAAACAAAUCAGAUUGAAACAUUAAUUUCAAGAUUGGAAUAAACCCGAAGUAGCAAUGGUUAGAGGAAUCCCAUACAUUAAUGUUUGGUGAAUGUUUAUGGAUAAACAUUUGUGAUUUCAGCCCUAAAACCCACCUUGACCUUGUCUUCUAUUGUGUUCUUCAACUUGGGAGAGAGAAAGUAGGGAGAAGGAAGAGAGUUUGGGUUUGGCAAUUAUGAGGGCUUAGGUCAGUUUUAUUAAGUUAGGGUCUUUAUAUAGGUUGUUAAUUAACUUAAUUAUACCUCCCAUAAGCCCUAAUUUACCUUAUAACUAAGCCAAAUAAUUAAAUUAAUUAAAUAAAAACGUGUAGCAAAAUAGUGGCUCUAAAGACGAGACCACGAUCGAUGGAUCGUGGGUCCAUCGACGGGCACUGUUCAUCUCCGUGUUACCCACUUGUUGAUAAGUUCAUAGACUGUCCAUUUGCAGACAUCAAAAAAUUUGUUUUAAGUGUCUAUCAACGGAAGCUGUCCACGCCCCGUCGAUUGGUAAUGGAUUGUGGGUUGCAUCUGUUGGUGGACAAUGCCUUGGUGAAACCAUUGACACCAAAAUGAAAGGGUCCUCCUCAAGGUCCCUUGCUUGGUCCUUAGAUAGUUGUACCCAGACGUUUCAUCAACGAAUCAUCUCGAAUACAUGUUAGACACCCUUCCACCAAUUUUCAUCAUUUUCUAGAUCAUAAAAUUUAGUAAAAUAGGCUAAGGCACACUAGAACUCCAUUGAACUAGCUUCAGGACGUCGGUUUCACAUCCGGGUUUGCCCCCUAAAUGUAAUCGCUGUCAUUGUCCUCUUUGAGGACUAAAACUAGACUCUUAGUUUACAUCAUUAAAUUCAUAGGUCAAAUUAUGCAAAAAAAAUUAAACUUUUCAUUAGUUCUACUUGGAGGUUUACAUAGACCUCUACUUACACAUAAUAUAUAUAUAUAUAUAUAUAUAUAUAUAUAUAUAGUAUAGAUAGACCUUUCGUAUCGGAAGAUUACUUACACUUCUACUUUUUUUGCACAUAAGUAUCUAAAAUAUAACAAAGACAUAAUAGUAAUAAUAGUUGUAUAAUCUCAUAACCAUCAAAUAAGGUUGUAAGAACUUGGGCAUAACCCAUACAUCAAGUAAAAUUGCCUCUAUAUAAUGUUUCAUACUAAAUGAAUAUAAAGAACCAUAGAAGUCUUUAACUAAAGUAACUCCAUAAGCUAGAUAGUGACAUCGCCUUCACAAAUUGAGGACCUACUCUACAUGGAUGAAUACGAGAUCCAGGCAUUCCUCAAGUCGUCUUCGAAACACCUUAAAGAGCGGAACCUAAAGUGUUGGGGAAAAGGAAUAAAUGGGGUUAGUACACCACUUAUACAAAGUAGGAGACCAUAUUCACACAUACUUUGAAGACAUUCAACGAAAAGGGACAUUUCAUAAAGUAUGCAUUUUUCAUUAAAAAACAUUAAGCAUAUUCAACAACACCAUACCAAUCAUUAAUGCAUGUUCAUUAAGCCAUGGGCAUUUACAUAACAAAAACAACAAAAUAAAAUCAAGUCUAGUCCAUAUACUUAUCAUAUGAUUUAAUACCUAUCAAAGUAACUCUAUCAUGAAAUCAUAUCACAACAAGCAUGCAGAGGAGUAGAUUUCAAUAUAAAAAAAGCAAGACCAAUACACAUGAACCAUUAUAAGGUCAACAAGUUCAAUUUACCUUUUGGGAACAUCUUUCCCUGGGAUACAUAGACAACAUGAACUAAUGUGGAAUGUGGUGUAAUAAAAAUCAAUAAAGAAGGAAGGUGGACUACAUGCCAAGGUAGUAUCAAAACAUGAAACAUAGCAACUACGUGGAUAUCCUAGCUAGUAUUCCUAUGGGGGCAACAUAGUUCAAAAACUAGGAGAUAUUAAGUGGACCCUCUUUAUGAUACAUGCAUUGUGGUCUACAAUCUAAAGAGUACUUUGGUGAUCCUACCUUACUUAUGUAGGAAAGGAUAAUCCUCACUCUAGUUCACUCGGUGCUGAGCUAGAGUCCAUUUUUGAAAAGUCUUUAAGCCUUUAUGAUCAUUCAUAGCUUAGUUUAGGUCACAGGUCUACCCAUUGUAUAAUCAUCAUCAUCAAUAGCUAAAUAAGAAUUGCAUGAGUAUGAAUCCUUUGAUUACAAUAGUUAUAGGUGAAGUUAGCACAUUAAAAUCUUCACCAUCCUUAAAACUUUUAAAUCUUAAAACCAUAUCACACCAUAAUAAUCAAAAUAUUUCAAUUCAACAUCAUACCACCCUAUCAAUCCUAGUUCAAGGCAUGCUCCAAAAAAUUAUUAUGACUUAAUAAUAAUUACCAACAAUUUGAAGCAAAGGAUAGAGAUCAUAAGACUUACCAAGUCUCAUUCAUAAUUCAAUAUCAAGGUCUUACCAUCAACCCUCUAUUUAACCCAAUUUGGGUAUAAAUCAUUAUAUGUAAAUAAUCAACAUGGUAAAAACGCAAAAAGAAUCACUACAUCAAAAUUCAAUACUAGAUCAUAGCUUAAGACAUAAUACUUAGGUCAAUUCACCACUCACUUUAUAAUCUAGAUCAUCUUCUCAAGAACUAGCAUGAACAUUUACCAAUCAUCCUAAUUUUGUUCAUGAUUAGUGUACCAACAUCAAAUAGCAAUAAUUCAACAAAAUAACCAAGUAAACGUAAAAAAAAUCCCUAAUUCAAAUCUAGAUCAAACCUAGUGUCACGACCCAACCCGAUAGGCCGUGAUUAGUGCCCGUUUUGGACACCCACAUACAAACCUGCUAAGUAUGACCAACUGAAACUAAGACAAUAUGGAAUUUAAUCAAAUCAAGCCAACCCCAACGUCAUAUAUAUAUAUAAGAGGACCUGUCUCAUAAGGAGUCAUAACCAUUCAACCAUAACAGCAUACGCGAGCCGACAAGGCCGCCACUAUUCAAAGCAUAAUGAUGUACACAGCCGACAAGGCUGCCCCUGUACAAGCGGACAUCCCAAACAAACCAUGUCCAGACCAUUAUCCAAAACAUAUAUAUACAACCCACAUAAUGUCCACAGACCUCUAAGGGUACAUUAGUGAAACUCGACGGGACAGGGCCCCGCCAUACCCAUAGACGAGCAAAAGACUACACAAAAGUUAUGUACCAAAACGAAUGGGCUCCGGAACAGUGGAGCUCUCCCAAUCAGCAGAGUAGAUAUCCUAGGCGGGAGGAUCACCGAACUGCGCGUCUACACCUGCGGGCAUGAAACGCAGCCCCCCGAGGAAAGGGGGGUCAGUACGGACAAUGUACUGAGUAUGUAAAGCAUAAGGUAAAGAUGACAGGAUACCAAUGUGGCAACUCGAAACAAAAUAUCGCUACACAUAUACUUUUUAAGUGAAAAUCAUGCAUAUAUUUAACAUUUAAGGUGCCCAGCUUCCCUAGUAAGGGGCUUGGCAAAAUAAUCAUCACGUCAUCUCUGUCAUCAUCAUCAUCAUAACCAUCCUCAUCACCAAUCAUAUAUAUAAUAUACAUACCCGGCCCUCUAGUGAGGAACUCGGUGACAUAUGCAAGAAACUCCGCACGAAUAUUACCCGGCCCGGGACUCGGUGAAAUGAUAAAUGACUCUAUGCACGAGCAGAAUAUUAUGAGCAACCAUAUGCAAUUAAAAUCAUUCUUAUAACUCAAUAGAACAAUCAACGUGAACCAGCAAGGAGUAUUACCAAAGAUUAAUGUUUUAUCAAGAUUAUGAACCUUUAAUACGAUAUGAAAACGUAAAAUUUCAAUGACUCUAAGAAGCAUUACCAUAGAUAUUAGAGAUCAUCAUAGCCUUAGACAUAACCGAUAUAUAGAGGAAUAAUUGUGGAAGCAAGAAUAUACAUCACCUAGACGCUUUAGAGGUAAGUAUCAAAUCUGUCCGUUAUUCGCUUAUUUUUAAAAGUCAUGCCAAGCAAAGAAAGAAGGGACAACGUUACAUACCGUAUAAUCGAGCCGCACGUCCAAUAUUUACUGCUCAAGCUAUUAAUCUAUAACAAGCAACAAUCGUGCCGCAAUUAGAUAAACAUCGUGCUUUACUUUCUUGUAAGCUAGCUAAUAAUCUAACGAAAAUUCGGCAGCACCUCCCCUAUUUUCCUUACUUCGUCCCAAUCCGACAACAAUCCAAAUUAUCCACAACAAUACCAAUAACACAUAUAACCCAAAGAAUCAUAUUAAACAGCCCCCUCCCCAAAACAGUUCCAUCUCGGCAACUAUAUCAGCGAAGCAACGACACACCGAGUGAUAACUCGUUUUAUAGUUCGUAACACAUCUACCUUAUCGUAUUCAUCCUUUGGAGUAUAUACUCAUAAUCACAUUCAACAUAUACAUAAUGCCAAAACAGAAUUUUCCUGCAGUUUGCUUUAAUCAAAACAGCCCAAGCACCAACACGACACCACUAAUAAUCCGAUUAUGGUUUCCAUUCAUACUUAGUACAUUCAAUAACUAAAACAAACUUCCUAAGCUACUGGUCACGCCCCCUUCUUAAAAUUAAUGGAUAAUUAACAAGGGUAUUCUAAAGAAUUAACACACCAAACAAGGAGAUUACUAACCAAAUUAUUUGCAGCUGCUGGCCAAGAGUUGCAGGGUUGGUUUCUCCAUUUCCAUGGCUGCCUAAGACAAGUGGUGAAGAAGAAGAUGAUAUGCAGCAAUGCAUUUCACCACUUUAUAUAGCAUGGAGUGGAUUUCUCCACCUCAUUUAAUAGUAUGAAGUGGAGGCAGCCCCCCUCUACACCUGUCCACUAAGGCCAGCCCACAAUCUGAUCCCUUUUUAAUUUUUUUGCCUUGAGUGGUGGGGCCCAUUGAAUUAAAUCAGUCCAAAUUAGCCACUAAUUAAUCCCUCACUUAAAUUUAAUGGCACUUACAUUAGCCAACUCAUACUUAAUAUCACAUUUGGAAAUAACAUCCUUGCCUAAUAUUUCUUUACGUCUUCUAGAUCACGAUGCGCACUACGUAUAUAAAAAAAAUACGAGGCAUAACCUCCUUCCCCCCUUAGGAACAUUCGUCCUCGAAUGUUAAGUUAGCGUCUUGCAAAAACAAAUUCCAGCGAGGUCUCUCUAAAAGUUAUACCUAUCAACCUGCAUUCCGUAACUUACAGAUGCCUCACAGCUACAUAAUCUCAUAUCUAUCAAUAUAGUCAAGCUAGGAAUUGAAUUACCUGCAGGUACGGGGAACAAGUAAGGAUACUUAUUUUUCAUUUCGUCUUCCGCUUCCCAAGUCAUCUCCUCCCUAUUGUUAUUUUGCCACAACACUUUGACGGAAGCCACAUCCUUAGUACGUAACCUUCUAACCUGACGAUCAAGUAUAGCCACGGGUUUCUCCUCAUAUGACAACUCCUCUGUUACCUGAAUAUCAUCUACAGGGAAUACUCUAGAAGGAUCACCAAUACAUUUACGUAGCAUCGAUACAUGGAAGACUGGAUGUACCGCCUCCAAAUCAGAUGGUAGAUCCAACUCAUAGGCAACCUUGCCUAUCCUACGAACAAUCUGAUAAGGCCCAAUGUAUCUCGGACUGAGCUUCCCCUUCCUGCCGAAUCUCAUCACACCCCUCAUGGGUGAUACCUUCAGGAAUACCCAGUCACCAAUCUGAAACUCCAAAUCUCGACGCCGAUUAUCUGCAUAUGACUUCUGUCGACUCUGGGCUGCUAAUAAUCUUUCUUGAAUAAGCUUCACCUUGUCAACAGCUUGCUGAAUCACAUCCGGGCCUAUUAACUUAGUCUCGCCAACAUCAAACCAACCAAUAGGUGAUCUGCACUUCCUCCCAUAUAAGGCCUCGUACGGUGCCAUCUGGAUACUAGAAUGGUAGCUAUUAUUAUAGGCAAACUCAAUGAGCGGCAAGUGGUCAUUCCAGCUGCCUUUGAAGUCAAUAAUACAGGCCCGCAACAUAUCUUCUAGUGUCUGAAUAGUACGCUCAGCCUGCCCAUCAGUCUGAGGGUGAAAUGUUGUGCUAAGGUUCACCUGUGUCCCCAAUCCCUUCUGAAACGAUCUCCAAAAGUUGGCUGUAAAUUGAGCUCCUCUGUCUGAUAUAAUGGACGUGGGAACCCCAUGAAGUCUCACUAUCUCCCUGACAUAUAACCUCGCAUAAUCUUCAGCCGAAUAAGUAGUCCUGACUGGAAGAAAAUGGGCCGAUUUCGUCAGCCUAUCUACAAUAACCCAUAUAGAGUCAUACUUCCGUUGAGUGCGAGGUAAGCCUGUAAUGAAGUCCAUAUUAAUCAUCUCCCAUUUCCAAGUCGGGAUCUCUAUCUCCUGUAAUAAUCCACCAGGCUUUUGAUGUUCGAUCUUGACUUGUUGACAAUUUGGGCACUGAGCAACAAACUCUGCUAUGUCCUUUUUCAUGCCAUCCCACCAAUAUAAGCAUCUGAGGUCAUGAUACAUUUUUGUUGACCCUGGGUGAAUAGAAUAACGGGCAGAGUGUGCCUCUCCCAUAACUUGCCGUCGUAGCCCCGCAGUAUCGGGUACACACAAUCUGCCUUCAUAUCGUAACACUCCAUCAGGUGUAACCUUAAAUGGGGUCUUUUCCUUUUGAAGAGCUGCAUCUCUAUACUGUGCCAGAAUAGGGUCCUUGUAUUGGUGUCUCUUUACCUCAUCUAUGAUUGAGGACUCAGCAACCUCUCGAAUAGAAACUCCACUAUCUUCCGAAUUAGCUAGACGGACUCCAAGGCUGGAUAGCCGCUGAAUCUCCCGAACCAUAUCCCUCCCUUCUGGUUGUACAUCUGUCAAGCUACCCAUGGACUUACGGCUAAGAGCAUCUGCUACAACAUUCGCUUUCCCUGGAUGAUAUAAAAUAUCAACAUCAUAAUCCUUUAGCAACUCUAACCACCGCCUCUGUCGUAAGUUCAGCUCCUUCUGUUUAAAGAUAUAUUGGAGACUCUUAUGAUCUGUAUAGAUGUCCACAUGGACACCAUAUAAAUAAUGUCUCCAUAUCUUCAAGGCAUGAACCACGAUCGCUAAUUCCAGAUCGUGAGUAGGAUAGUUCUUUUCAUGCUUCCUAAGUUGUCGGGAGGCAUAGGCUAUAACUUUGCCAUGCUGCAUCAAUACACAUCCUAGCCCAACACCCGAAGCAUCACAAUAAAUAACAUAGCCGUCUGGUCCCUCUGGAAGAGUUAGGACUGGAGCUGUAGUCAAUUUGUCUUUUAAUAGCUGGAAGCUUCGCUCACAAGCAUCUGUCCACUGGAACUUGGCUGCCUUUUGAGUUAGCCUUGUCAAAGGCACUGAAAUUGAGGCAAACUUUUCUACGAAUCUCCUGUAAUAUCCUGCUAACCCCAAAAAGCUGCGUACAUCAAUAGGUGUCGUAGGUCUGGGCCAAGUCUUUACUGCCUCAAUCUUCUGCGUAUCUACCCGAAUACCAUCAGCUCCAAUAAUAUGCCCCAAGAAUGCCACUGAAGUCAACCAGAACUCGCACUUAGAAAAUUUAGCAUACAACUUCUGGUGCUGAAGCACCCUAAGUACCGUCCUUAAAUGAUCUGCAUGCUCCUCUUCUGAACGUGAAUAGACCAGAAUAUCGUCUAUAAAUACAAUAACAAACAUAUCAAGGAAUGGUUUAAAUACUCGAUUCAUUAAAUCCAUGAAUACCGCUGGAGCAUUAGUCAACCCAAAAGACAGCACUCUAAACUCAUAAUGCCCAUAUCGGGUCCGGAAUGCUGUCUUUGGAAUAUCUGCCUCCCUUACCCGCACCUGAUGAUAACCUGACCGCAAGUCUAUCUUUGAAAAACACUUUGCACCCUGCAACUGGUCAAAUAGAUCGUCAAUCCUUGGGAGGGGAUACCUGUUCUUUAUUGUUACUUUGUUCAACUGCCUAUAAUCAAUGCACAUCCGCAGCGACCCAUCCUUCUUCCUCACAAACAGUACUGGUGCUCCCCAAGGUGACGUACUAGGCCUGAUGAAGCCCUUUUCUAGCAAAUCCCUCAAUUGCUCUUUCAAUUCUUUCAACUCAGCAGGUGCCAUUCUAUAAGGAGGUAUAGAUAUAGGCUGGGUAUCUGGCAGUACAUCUAUAGUAAACUCUAUCUCCCGUUCUGGAGGAAGGCCUGGAAGUUCCUCGGGGAAUACAUUAGGAAAUUCAUUAACUACCGGGACUGAUUGAAGAGUCGGUGCCUCUGCCUUUAUGUCAUGCACCCAAAUCAGAUGGUAAAUAUAGCCUUUUCUAACCAUCUUCCCGGCCUUGAGGUAUGAAAUGAACUUACCUUUCGGCGAUACUGUACUUCCCUUCCACUCUAUAAUCGGUUCCCCUGGAAAUUGAAAUCGAACUAUCUUUCCUCUGUAAUCAACAUUAGCAUAACAAGCAGCCAACCAAUCCAUGCCCAUGAUAAUAUCAAACUCAAUCAUAUUUAACUCUAUUAGAUCUGCUACGGUAUGACGACUAUAUAUAGCUACUGAACAAUUCCUAUAUACUCGCGUAGCUAUGACAAAAUCUCCUACAGGUGUAGCUACCUCAAAUGGUUCUAUCAACUCAGACUCUAUUCUGAUCCUACUAGCAACAAAGGGAGAUAUAUAUGAUAAGGUGGAACCUGGGUCUAUCAAUGCAUACACACUUCGGGAGAAUAGUGAUAAUAUACCUGUGAUCACAUUAGGUGACGCCUCUUGAUCUUGCCUAUUAGUCAAAGCAUAUAUACGGUUUGAGGGACCACUAGAACUGGAAGCUCCACCACGUCCUCUACCACGGCCUGCUGGUGCCUGAAUACCCUGCCCCGUAGGGCGCAUAGCCACAGAAGAAGAUGAACCAGCAACGGACCCUGUAGGCUGUGCCAUACCACCUGCACUACCUCUAAGGUGACACUCCCUCAUAGUAUGGCCUUGACGGCCGCAAGAAAAACACGCACCUGUAGCCCAACGACAUUUCCCAGGAUGGGACUUACCACAACGAGAACACCGAGGCAAAGGUGGCCUCGACUGGCUCAAACCCCUGCCUAUCUGUGACCCUGACGCCCUAGAGCUCUGACCAGGUUCCGAAUAUCCCAUACGAUCGAACCCCCUACCCAUGAAACGUGGGGGUGCACUCUGUGCUGGCUGGGAAGAAAAUCUAACAUGCUGCUGAGACUGCCUGCUUUGAAACUCGUCAGGAUAACCUGCUGAUCUAGCCCUCUUAUGCUGGCCUCUAUUAUAAUCUCUAUCUGGCUGACGUCCCCGGUGCCGAUCCUCUACCCCCUGUGCAUAUGCCUGCACCCGAGCAAUGUCCAUACCUGGCUGAAGAGUCACUGCCAUACAACCGUCAAUCAGAUAAUGAUCCAAUCCCAUCACAUAACGAUGUACCCUAUCUGCCAUAUCAGCAGCCAAUGAAUCAAACUCGAGGCUAUACUCUCGAACGCUCCUGCCAUUUUGCUUCAAACGCAAGAAUUUAUCGACUCUAGCUCGCUUCAUCUCUGGAGGCAGGAAGUGGCCCUGGAAAGCCUCCACAAAUUCAUCCCAUACCGCUGGAGGGGCACCCUCACCCCUAGAUAACUCCCAAGACUCAUACCAAUUAAUAGCUACAUCCCGCAAACGAUACGUAGCCAACUCAACAGACUCGGUCUCCGAAGCCUUGAUUAUCCUCAAUCUACGCUGCAUCUGACGAAUAAACUCUUGCGGAUCAUCCUGUGGCCUUGACCCAAAGAACUCUGGAGGAUUACAACUUAAGAAGUCACGAGCCCUUAAGCUAUCAGAUCUGUCCGCAUGAUCAACUCCUAGUCCAUGCCUGCGAGCCUGAUCUGCCACUAAUCUAGUCAGCAAUUGAACCGCAUCUCUCAUGGCCCUAUCCUCCGCCCCUGACUGAGGAGCUGGAGGUUCAGAUGUUGGGGCCUCGGGGGCUGGUGGUGUCCCCCGAACUGGAGCUGCUGCUGCUCUAAGCUCUUCUGGCGGUGGGGGUGUAGCAGAGCUCUCCGACUGGAGCAUAAUACUAGGCAUAGACUGGGCACGGGCCCUAGUAACUCUUCGGGUCUGACUAGUACCUUCUGCUACCGAUUUUCCCUUCUGGGCGGCUGUCGCUUUCUUUGGAGGCAUAGCUGAAAACACAUGGAUUCGUUAGAGAGGGAUUAUCCUGUUAAUAUAGCUCUAUCGCACGAUCUAGAAUAAGAAGAAAGAAUGACAUCAUAAAUGUCCUGUAGCUUCCUGUUUAUAGAUGUGGUGCACAACACACCGAUAAACAAGACUCUACUAGACACGGUCUGUAGACACUUUCGAGGAAGAACCGCUCUGAUACCACUCUUUGUCACGACCCAACCCGAUAGGCCGUGAUUAGUGCCCGUUUUGGACACCCACAUACAAACCUGCUAAGUAUGACCAACUGAAACUAAGACAAUAUGGAAUUUAAUCAAACCAAGCCAACCCCAACGUCAUAUAUAUAUAUAAGAGGACCUGUCUCAUAAGGAGUCAUAACCAUUCAACCAUAACAGCAUACGCGAGCCGACAAGGCCGCCACUAUUCAAAGCAUAAUGAUGUACACAGCCGACAAGGCUGCCCCUGUACAAGCGGACAUCCCAAACAAACCAUGUCCAGACCAUUAUCCAAAACAUAUAUAUACAACCCACAUAAUGUCCACAGACCUCUAAGGGUACAUUAGUGAAACUCGACGGGACAGGGCCCCGCCAUACCCAUAGACGAGCAAAAGACUACACAAAAGUUAUGUACCAAAAUGAAUGGGCUCCGGAACAGUGGAGCUCUCCCAAUCAGCAGAGUAGAUAUCCUAGGCGGGAGGAUCACCGAACUGCGCGUCUACACCUGCGGGCAUGAAACGCAGCCCCCCAAGGAAAGGGGGGUCAGUACGGACAAUGUACUGAGUAUGUAAAGCAUAAGGUAAAGAUGACAGGAUACCAAUGUGGCAACUCGAAACAAAAUAUCGCUACACAUAUACUUUUUAAGUGAAAAUCAUGCAUAUAUUUAACAUUUAAGGUGCCCAGCUUCCCUAGUAAGGGGCUCGGCAAAAUAAUCAUCACGUCAUCUCCGUCAUCAUCAUCAUCAUAACCAUCCUCAUCACCAAUCAUAUAUAUAAUAUACAUACCCGUCCCUCUAGUGAGGAACUCGGUGACAUAUGCAAGAAACUCCGCACGAACAUUACCCGGCCCGGGACUCGGUGAAAUGAUAAAUGACUCUAUGCACGAGCAGAAUAUUAUGAGCAACCAUAUGCAAUUAAAAUCAUUUCUUAUAACUCAAUAGAACAAUCAACGUGAACCAGCAAGGAGUAUUACCAAAGAUUAAUGUUUUAUCAAGAUUAUGAACCUUUAAUACGAUAUGAAAACGUAAAAUUUCAAUGACUCUAAGAAGCAUUACCAUAGAUAUUAGAGAUCAUCAUAGCCUUAGACAUAACCGAUAUAUAGAGGAAUAAUUGUGGAAGCAAGAAUAUACAUCACCUAGAUGCUUUAGAGGUAAGUAUCAAAUCUGUCCGUUAUUCGCUUAUUUUUAAAAGUCAUGCCAAGCAAAGAAAGAAGGGACAGCGUUACAUACCGUAUAAUCGAGCCGCACGUCCAAUAUUUACUGCUCAAGCUAUUAAUCUAUAACAAGCAACAAUCGUGCCGCAAUUAGAUAAACAUCGUGCUUUACUUUCUUGUAAGCUAGCUAAUAAUCUAACGAAAAUUCGGCAGCACCUCCCCUAUUUUCCUUACUUCGUCCCAAUCCGACAACAAUCCAAAUUAUCCACAACAAUACCAAUAACACAUAUAACCCAAAGAAUCAUAUUAAACAGCCCUCUCCCCAAAACAGUUCCAUCUCGGCAACUAUAUCAGCGAAGCAACGACACACCGAGUGAUAACUCGUUUUAUAAUUCGUAACACAUCUACCUUAUCGUAUUCAUCCUUUGGAGUAUAUACUCAUAAUCACAUUCAACAUAUACAUAAUGCCAAAACAGAAUUUUCCUGCAGUUUGCUUUAAUCAAAACAGCCCAAGCACCAACACGACACCACUAAUAAUCCGAUUAUGGUUUCCAUUCAUACUUAGUACAUUCAAUAACUAAAACAAACUUCCUAAGCUACUGGUCACGCCCCCUUCUUAAAAUUAAUGGAUAAUUAACAAGGGUAUUCUAAAGAAUUAACACACCAAACAAGGAGAUUACUAACCAAAUUAUUUGCAGCUGCUGGCCAAGAGUUGCAGGGUUGGUUUCUCCAUUUCCAUGGCUGCCUAAGACAAGUGGUGAAGAAGAUGAUGAUAUGCAGCAAUGCAUUUCACCACUUUAUAUAGCAUGGAGUGGAUUUCUCCACCUCAUUUAAUAGUAUGAAGUGGAGGCAGCCCCCCUCUACACCUGUCCACUAAGGCCAGCCCACAAUCUGAUCCCUUUUUAAUUUUUUUGCCUUGAGUGGUGGGGCCCAUUGAAUUAAAUCAGUCCAAAUUAGCCACUAAUUAAUCCCUCACUUAAAUUUAAUGGCACUUACAUUAGCCAACUCAUACUUAAUAUCACAUUUGGAAAUAACAUCCUUGCCUAAUAUUUCUUUACGUCUUCUAGAUCACGAUGCGCACUACGUAUAUAAAAAAAAUACGAGGCAUAACACCUAGGGUUAAGGGUUAAGGGUCAUCUUCUACAAACAAGAUGAAACAAUCAAGUUAUAUCAUAAUAAAGUUAGAAUAAAUAUCAGUCGAUUCAUAUUAUCCAAUAGAAAAGACAAACACACUAAUUCAUAACAUUAUUUUUGAGAAUGAGAAAGACACACAUAAAAACUCAUUUUUUGAAAACACUUUGAAAAAACCCUUUCAGGAAAGAGGUCUGAAGGUGAAUUAGAUGCUAUACCUCAAUAUUUGAUGGAUAAAUUAUGGUGAAAACAUCCCAUUACAUACCCCAAAACUCCCCCUAUCUUAGUCUUUAAUGGUGUCUUCCAAUAAGGAGAUAAAGAAGAGAGAAGGAUCACAAUUUUGGUUUCUGAGUUGUAAUUAGACUAAUGGGGUUGGGGUCUUUAUAUGGGUGGGGUGGGGUUAAUAAAGUUAAUUACUCUUUCUUAAUCAUAAACAACCACAAAACCUCAAUUAUUUUUGUAAAACAAAGUUAAAACAAUCUCGGAAAAUAGGACUUUUACAGAACUGAUCCCGUCGACGGUUUGUAUGUGAGUCGAUGACUAGUCCCUCCUCUAUGCUGCACACUUGUACAUUUGGUAAGAGACUCUGCAAAUGAGGGACUCCAACAACUUGGGUAAGUGUUGGUAUACAGUUAUAAUUGACGCCCCAUCGAUCAACACACGCCCCCGUCUAUGCCGUUUUGUUGGUGAACACUGUUGAGGCAGUGUUUGACUCAACCUGCAACGGUCCUCCUCAAGAGCCCUUGGUUUGUCCUUGGGUAUUCGUACCCAGACUUUUAGACUAUGAAUCUACUUAAACAUAUUUUAGACACUCUUCCACCAAUUUUCAUCAUUUUCCUAUUUAGAGGUCCAUGUAAACCUCCUUGCUAUAUAAGCAAACAUUUUUACUUUUCUUGUAUUUUAUUACCUAUGAUGUGCUAUAAUGAAUACUAAGGGAUUGUUUUAGUACUCAUAGAGGAUGACGACACCGAUGAGAACAAGGGUGUACUUUGGGUCGUUUCAAACAUUGUAUCAGAGCAUUAGGUUAAAGUAAAUCAUAGGAUUGAUGUCUCACUAAACCACGUCCAUGAGAGACUAUAUGAUGUUUAGCAAAUAUCACUCUAUAAUUAUUCCUUAUUCAUGCCUAGGAGUCCUAGAUCCAUUUAGUCCUUUCUUCUUAUCUUUUUUUUGUCCUUAUAGGCAAUGGAUAGAAGGAAGAACAAUGCUCAAAGGGACAGAGGGAUAAUUUGAAUGAGGCGGUUCCCCCUCAACUCCUCAAAACCCUCAAGUUCCUAAUGAAGAUGGGGAUAUGUCUAAUGAUGAGAUAAGGUAGACCACUAAUAGCUUGUCUCAAAUGUUGGCUACCCAUGAUUCUUGGGAUGCACGAGUAAAGUGAAUCCCAAUUCUAACACUAUCGCAUAAAGGAUUAGGGAUUUCCCUAGGAUGAAUCCUCCUACUUUCUUUGGCUCUAAGGUAGAGGAGGACCCACAAGGGUUCAUUGAUAAAGUGUUAAAUGUUUUUGAUUUUAUGGGUUUUUUUAAGAAAAGGAGGAACUAGUCGUCUUUCAAUUCAAAGACAUAGCUCAAAUUUGGUAUGAGCAAUGAAAGGCUGAGAGGCCUCUUAUAGAAGGCCAAAUUUCUUGGGGAUCUUUGAAAAUGGCUUUCCUUGAUAGGUUAUUUCCCUUGGUAGUUAGGAAGAGAAAAAUAAAAGAAUUUAUCAACCUUCGUUUAGGGUGUAUGAGCGCGAAAGAGUAUAGCCUCAAGUUCACUCAACUAUCUAAGUAUGCUCCUACUAUGGUUGCGGAUUCUAGAGAUAAUAUGAAUGAAUUUGCUAUGGGUAUAGCCGAUCUUGCGGUUUAUGAGUGUAAGUCGGAUAUGUUCAUUCCUAGCAUACACAUCUCUCUUCUCAUGGUUCAUGUCAAAAAAAUUGAGGAGCAAAAGCUUAAGAGAGUUGGUAGGGAGUCGAAGAAGGUAAGAACCGAAUAUGGAAAUUCUUCCAUGGCUAAUUUUGAGGUACCAGACAAACCACGGUUCAAAAGGAGGUGUUCAAACUAAGGCCAUUCUAAUUCUCCAAGGGUUAACAAGAUUAAGGUGACUACUCCCAAGCCCCAAGAGGGGAAAGGUGGUAGAUCUUAUGUUGAGAAGCCUCUUAGUGCAAAAUCUGAUAAGAGACAUGAUGGUAUGUGUCUUGAUUGCACGGGAAAUUAUUAUGGUUUUUUAAAGAGAGUGGUUAUAUGAAUAGAUAUUUCCUUAUGAUGAAGUCUCAAGGAAGGGAAAAUUCUCAAGCUCAAGCAAGUUCCCCAAACUGCUUUAAUCCUCUGCAAUCCCGAAGUGAUCAAGAGAGCUCACCGGACGUGUUCACCGUUAUGUUUAGAUUUUUUUUAUGUAUAUGCUUUGUUGGAUCUGAGAUAUACGUUGUCAUUUGUGACCCCUCUUGUAGCCAUGAAAUUUUAAAUUCCACCCGACAUAUUAGAGAAACCUUUUUCGGUUUCUACCAGGUAGGUGCUUUUGUGGUGGUUAAUAGAGUCUGUAAAGAUUGUCCUAUUUCCUUUCCUAAUAAGGUUACAUUAGUUGACUUGAUAUAACUUGAUAUGCUAGAUUUUGAUGUCAUAUUGGGAAUGGACUGGUUGCAUGCUUAAUUUUCUUUUAUUGAAUGUAGGACAAGGGUAGUUAAAUUUAAAUUUCCAAAUGAACCCAUUUUUAGUGAAAGGGAGGAAAAUCAAAUCCUAGGGGAAAGAUUAUUUCAUAUAAAAAAUCUUACCAAUUGAUUGUGAAAGGUUGUCUCUAUAACAAAGUAAGAGAUAGGAAUAUUAAAUUCAAAGUACCUUCUAUAGAUUCGGUACCUGUAGUAAGGAAAUUUCCAAAGGACUUUCCCGAUGACCUUCUCGGAAUUCCUCUCGAAGGGGAGACAUACUUCAGAAUAGAUUUUUUGCCAGAUACACAACCUAUUUCCAUCCCCUCCUUAUCGUAUGUCCCCAGCCUAGUUAAAAGAACUAAAGUCUUACGGAUUUGCUACAAAAGGGUAUUAUUCAACCUAACUUAUCUCCAUGGUUUCCCCGAUAUUGUUUGUGAAUAAGAAUAAUGGUUCUUUGAAAAUGUAUAUCGACUUAAUUGAGAAAAGCCACUAUAACGAAUAUGUACCUGCUCCAUAGGAUAGAUCACUUUUUUGAUCAACACAAUGGAGCAAGCUACUUUUUGAAAAUUGACUUGAGGUCGGGUUAUCAACAUAGAGUGAGAAAGGUUGAUAUUCCAAAAACAACUUCCUGAACAUGAUAUGGCCGCUUUAAGUUUCAAUUGAUGUUAUUUGGUCUAACAAAUGCCCUGGCAACGUUCAUGGACCUUGUGAAUCGAAUUGUUAGAAAGUAUCUUGAUUUGUUUGUGAUUAUCUUCAUUGAUGACAUUUUUAUAUACUCUACGAGUGAGAAUGAUCAUAUAAUACAUUUGAUGAUAAUUUUGAAUGUUCUCAAGGAUAAAAAACUUUUUUCUAAGUUUAGAAAGUGUGAGUUAGGGUUGAGAUCGGUUGCAUUUCUUGGUCACAUUGUCUCUAGUGAAGGGGUGGUGGUUGAUCUAACAAAGAUGAAAGUGGCCAAGAGUUGUCCUACACCUUUGACUCCUACCGCACACAAUGUUUUCUAGGGUUGGCCGAUUUUUAUAGGAGGUUUGUUGAGGGAGUUUCGUAUAUCACAUUGUUAUGCCUCGUAUUUUUUUUAUACGUAGUGCGCAUCGUGAUCUAGAAGACGUAAAGAAAUAUUAGGCAAGGAUGUUAUUUUCAAAUGUGAUAUUAAGUAUGAGUUGGCUAAUGUAAGUGCCAUUAACUUUAAGUGAGGGAUUAAUUAGUGGCUAAUUUGGAUUGAUUUAAUCCAAUGGGCCCCACCACUCAUAAUUGGUGGCUGAUUAGGAUUAAUUUAAUCCAGUGGGCCCCACCACUCAAGGCAAAAAUUAAAAAGGGAUCAGAUUGUGGGCUGGCCUUAGUGGACAGGUGUAGAGGGGGGCUGCCUCCACUUCAUACUAUUAAAUGAGGUGGAGAAAUCCACUCCAUGCUAAAUAAAGUGGUGAAAUGCAUUGCUGCAUAUCAUCUUCUUCUUCACCACUUGUCUUAGGCAGCCAUGGAAAUGGAGAAGCCAACCCUGCAACUCUUGGCCAGCAGCUGCAAAUAAUUUGGUUAGUAAUCUCCUUGUUUGGUGUGUUAAUUCUUCAGAAUACCCUUGUUAAUUAUCCAUUAAUUUUAAGAAGGGGGCGUGACCAGUAGCUUAGGAAGUUUGUUUUAGUUAUUGAAUGUGCUAAGUAUGAAUGGAAACCAUAAUCGAAUUAUUAGUGGUGUCGUGUUGGUGCUUGGGCUGUUUUGAUUAAAGCAAACUGCAGGAAAGUUCUGUUUUGGCAUUAUGUAUAUGUUGAAUGUGAUUAUGAGUAUAUACUCCAAAGGAUGAAUACGAUAAGGUAGAUGUGUUGCGAAUUAUAAAACGAGUUAUCGCUCGGUGUGUCGUUGCUUCGUUACUAUGGUUGCCGAGACAGAACUGUUUUGGGGAGGGGGCUGUUUAAUAUGAUUCUUUGGGUUAUAUGUGUUAUUGGUAUUGCUGUGGAUAAUUUGGAUUGUUGUCGGAUUGGGACGAAGUAAGGAAAAUAGGGGAGGUGCUGCCGAAUUUUCGUUAGAUUAUUAGCUAGCUUACAAGAAAGUAAAGCACGAUGUUUAUCUAAUUGCGGCACGAUUGUUGUUUGUUAUAGAUUAAUAGCUUGAGCAGUAAAUAUUGGACGUGCGGCUCGAUUAUACGGUAUGUAACGCUGUCCCUUCUUUCUUUGCUUGGCAUGACUUUUAAAAAUAAGCGAAUAACGGACAGAUUUGAUACUUAUCUCUAGAGCGUCUAGGUGACGUAUAUUCUUGCUUCCACAAUUAUUCCUCUAUAUAUCGGCUAUGUCUAAGGCUAUGAUGAUCUCUAAUAUCUAUGGUAAUGCUUCUUAGAGUCAUUGAGAUUUUACGUUUCCAUAUCGUAUCAAAGGUUCAUAAUCUUGAUAAAACAUUAAUCUUUGGUAAUACUCCUUGCUGGUUCACGUUGAUUGUUCUAUUGAGUUAUAUGAAAUGAUUUUAAUUGCAUAUGGUUGCUCAUAAUAUUCUGCUCGUGCAUAGAGUCAUUUAUCAUUUCACCGAGUCCCGGGCCGGGUAAUGUUCAGGCGGAGUUUCUUGCAUGUCACCGAGUUCCUCACUAGAGGGCCGGGUAUGUAUAUUAUAUAUAUGAUUGGUGAUGAGGAUGGUUAUGAUGAUGAUGAUGACAGAGAUGA
rnacentral:lncRNA from 1 species